GAAGAUGCCAAGAUGGAACCAACCCUAGAAGCACAUCGUCUUGGUCCUAAACGUUAAAUAUCUCCCACUUACCCUACACAUGCAAGUAUCCGCACUCCAGUGCCCAAGCCCCUGCCGGAGCAGACAUCAGGCACGUCCAUACAGACAGCCCAUAACGUCUAGCCUAUGCCACACCCCCACGGAACCCAGCAGUGACUAACAUUAAGCUAUGAGCCAAUUAAGUCUUUAGCUCGACUUAGGUAUAGUACUCAUCGAGUCGGUAAACCCCGUGCCAGCCACCGCGGUUAUACGGCGGACUCAAGAUAAUACCCCCUCGGCGUAAAAUGUGACUAGAAAAACUACUUUCUCUACUACGGGCACUAAAACUCAGAGCAAAGGCGUAAAACACCACCCCUCAACAGAACCACAGCCUGCUGCCCAAAAGACAAACCAAUUUGACCUCACUAAAUCUAAGACACAAACUAGGAUUAGAUACCCUACUAUGCUUAGCACCCACCCAAGGCAUUAUACUCAACCCACUGCCCGCCAGAGAACUACAAGUGAAAAACUUAAAACUCAAAAGACUUGACGGCGUUCCACCCACCCUAGAGGAGCCUGUCCUACAAUCGAUAACCCACGUUCCACCCAACCUGUCCUUGCACCAUAAAUCAGCCUAUAUACCGCCGUCUUCAGCCCGCCUUGCAAAAGAACAACCAGCGGACUAAACCGCCACUACACAAAUACGUCAGGUCAAGGUGUAGCCAACGGACAGGGAGAGAUGGGCUACAUUUUCUGACCCCAGAAAUAACCUACAACACCAUGAAAUACGUGCAAAAAAGGUGGAUUUAGUAGUAAAUCGCGCAAGACUGCCCAAUUGAACUCAGCCAUGGAACGCGUACACACCGCCCGUCACCCUCAUCAAUCAAACUAAAUAUAGCUAACUAACUCACUCUUAACCCAUCCAGAUGAGACAGUCGU
rnacentral:rRNA from 1 species